AUUGAACGCUGGCGGCAUGCCUUACACAUGCAAGUCGAACGGCAGCACGGGAGCAAUCCUGGUGGCGAGUGGCGAACAGGUGAGUAAUAUAUCGGAACGUGCCCGGUCCGUGGGGAUAACGUAGCGAAAGCUACGCUAAUACCGCAUACGAUCUACGGAUGAAAGCGGGGGAUCGCAAGACCUCGCGCGAUUGGAGCGGCCGAUAUCAGAUUAGGUAGUUGGUGAGGUAAAGGCUCACCAAGCCGACGAUCUGUAGCUGGUCUGAGAGGACGACCAGCCACACUGGGACUGAGACACGGCCCAGACUCCUACGGGAGGCAGCAGUGGGGAAUUUUGGACAAUGGGCGCAAGCCUGAUCCCAGCAAUGCCGCGUGCAGGAUGAAGGCCUUCGGUUGGUAACUAGCUUUUGUUACGGUAACGAAA
rnacentral:rRNA from 1 species